GCCAGCAGCCAUAUCACCCUGCAACCCACUGACGCUCAGCAGGUGUGAGCCUGGUCAGUACCUGGAUGGGAGACCUCCUGGGAAAAACUAAGGUUGCUGCUGGAA
rnacentral:rRNA from 1 species